GGUAAAGAGGUCUGCACUCAGAGGUGAAGAACUCACACUUGAUGAAAACAAAAUCUUCUGGAACUUUGAAUCAAAACAGCCUCCACGUUCCGUGUGCAGUGAAAAUUGUCCUCCAGGUACCCGAGUGGCCAGAARAAAAGGACAACCUGUGUGUUGUUUCGACUGCAUUUUAUGUUCUGAAGGAAAGAUCAGUAACAACACUAACUCCAUGGAGUGCUUCAGUUGUCCAGAGGACUUUUGGUCUGGCCCCCAG